CGAUGUCGGCUCAUCACAUCCUGGGGCUGAAGCAGGUCCCAAGGGUUCGGCUGUUCGCCGAUUAAAGUGUUACGCGAGCUGGGUUCAGAACGUCGUGAGACAGUUCGGUCCUUAUCCUCCGCAGGCUAAGGACGGUUGACGGGCGCGCCCCCUAGUACGAGAGGACCGGGGGCGGGUGACCUCUGGUGUUCCGGUUGUCUGGCCUACGGGCAUUGCCGGGUAGCUAUGUCGCGACAGGAUAAGCGCUGAAAGCAUCUAAGCGCCAAGCCCCCCCGAAGAAGGCCGUCCCUGGUCGCAAGACCCUAAAGACCCCCGGAAGACCACCGGGUUGACAGGGCGCAAGUGGAAGACCCGCGAGGGUUGCAGCUUAGCGCUGCUGAUAGGUCGUGAGGUCUGGCCGCCUUCU
rnacentral:rRNA from 1 species